UUAGAGUUUGAUCCUGGCUCAGGACAAACGCUGGCGGCGUGCGUAAAACAUGCAAGUCGCACGAGGGCUUCGGCCCUAGUGGCAGACGGCUGAGUAACGCGUAGGAAUCUACCCACCCGUGGGGAAUAACGGGCCGAAAGGUCCGCUAAUACCGCAUACGACCAGCCUUCGGGCUGAGGAAAGCCGCAAGGUGCGGGUGGAGGAGCCUGCGUCCGAUUAGCUGGUUGGUGGGGUAACGGCCUACCAAGGCGACGAUCGGCAGCUGGUCUGAGAGGAUGACCAGCCAGACUGGGACUGGGACACGGCCCAGACUCCUACGGGAGGCAGCAGUUAGGAAUUUUGGGCAAUGGCCGCAAGGCUGACCCAGCAACGCCGCGUGGGGGACGAAGGCCUUCGGGUUGUAAACCCCUUUUCCCAGGGACGAUAGUGACGGUACCUGGGGAAUAAGCCCCGGCUAACUACGUGCCAGCAGCCGCGGUAAUACGUAGGGGGCGAGCGUUGUCCGGACUUAUUGGGCGUAAAGCGCGCGUAGGCGGCGUGGCAAGUCGGCCGUGAAAUCUCCAGGCUCAACUUGGAGGGGUCGGGCGAGACUGCGACGCUAGAGGCGGGCAGAGGGCAGUGGAAUUCCGGGUGUAGUGGUGGAAUGCGUAAGAUCCGGAGGAACACCAGUGGCGAAGGCGGCUGCCUGGGCCUGGCCUUGACGCUGAGGCGCGAAAGCGUGGGGAGCGAUCGGAUUAAAUACCCGGGUAGUNCCACGCCGUAAACGAUGGGUACUAGGUGUCGGGGGUAUCGACCCCCUCGGUGCCGGCGCUACCGCAUAAGUACCCCGGCCUGGGGAAUACGGCGCAAGGUUAAACUUCAAAGGAUUGAACGGGGCCCGGCACAAGCAGCGGAGCGUGUGGUUUAAUUCGAUGCAACGCGCAGAACCUUACCUGGGCUUGACAUGCGCGAAGUAGGACCCGGAAACGGGAACGACCCGUUUGAGUCGGGAGCGCGCACAGAUGCUGCAUGGCUGUCGUCAGCUCGUGCCGUGAGGUGUUGGGUUAAGUCCCGCAACGAGCGCAACCCUCGUCGCCAGUUACCUGUCUGGCGAGACCGCCGGGUGCAACCCGGAGGAAGGUGGGGAUGACGUCAAGUCAGCACGGCUCUUACGUCCAGGGCUACACACACGCUACAAUGGUCGGGACAACGGGCAGCGAAGGGGCGACCCGGAGCGAAUCCCAGCAAACCCGGCCUCAGUGAGGAUCGGAGGCUGCAACUCGCCUCCGUGAAUGCGGAGUUGCUAGUAACCGCGGGUCAGCACACCGCGGUGAAUACGUUCCCGGGCCUUGUACACACCGCCCGUCACGUCAUGAAAGUGGGAGACGCCUGAAGCCGGUGGGCUAACCCGCAAGGGAGGCAGCCGUCGAAGGCGGGGCCCGCGAUUGGGACGAAGUCGUAACAAGGUAGCCGUACCGGAAGGUGCGGCUGGAUCACCUCC
rnacentral:rRNA from 1 species